GCAGAUAUAAUCCUAACUGGUAAGGAAACUGUUUGCUAAACAGUCAGUAGCCGAAAACGGUGUUUCGGUUCGAGUCCGAAUAUCUGCG
rnacentral:tRNA from 1 species